rnacentral:rRNA from 1 species
GAUCAUGGCUCAGGAUGAACGCUAGCGGCAGGCUUAACACAUGCAAGUCGAGGGGCAGCACGGAGAUAGCUUGCUAUCUUGGGUGGCGACCGGCGCACGGGUGAGUAACGCGUAUCCAACCUGCCCAUUACUCAGGGAUAGCCUUGCGAAAGUAAGAUUAAUACCUGAUGUUGUUAAAAACCCGCAUGAGUUUUUAACCAAAGAUUUAUUGGUAAUGGAUGGGGAUGCGUGACAUUAGGUAGUAGGUGAGGUAACGGCUCACCUAGCCGACGAUGUCUAGGGGUUCUGAGAGGAAGGUCCCCCACACUGGAACUGAGACACGGUCCAGACUCCUACGGGAGGCAGCAGUGAGGAAUAUUGGUCAAUGGACGAGAGUCUGAACCAGCCAAGUAGCGUGCAGGAUGACGGCCCUCUGGGUUGUAAACUGCUUUUAGUUGGGAAUAAAAAGAGGGACGUGUCCCUAAUUGUAUGUACCAUCAGAAAAAGGACCGGCUAAUUCCGUG